UUAUAAUUACAGCUGCUGCCACUCAAUCUUCCUUCUUCUGCUGUCGACACCUGGCUUCUGCACGUGGGGAACUAAUGUUAUAUCUACUCACGUGCACUGACAUUACAGCUAUUACUCCUAAAUGGAUGGAUGUACACUCCUGCUAAUUCAAACCGAGUCCCAGCUUCCUCCGAACGAUAACCCUCGGCCGACUGCAGGUUAAACCAAGCACAAGACCUAUUUGAUUGAUGGUUUGUGAUAGUAAGAUGGACAAAUUCAACAAAUCAAUAUACGAGCAUGAAGAAGAUUCCACCAGAUCAUAGCACUUCUUUACUUUUGAUGAUAUGAUCCAAGGUUGAAUAAAUUUUAGUAUCUAAGUAUGGCACCAUGUUGCCAAGGUGAAUAUGAGAAGCGAAGUGAUGGAGCACCUUACACAGGCUAUCCUGCUCAAUCCUGCAUCAGCUUCCUUAGUCUACAAUGCCAGACCCUCACAAUUUAGAGUUAUGGCUAAAGGUUAUUCGAGUAUUGAUGAUGACUCCAUUCCUGGCUUGGAAUUAGAUUCUGAUAGUGAAUACAGAAACAAUAAUACAGGACUCUCGGAAAGUGGUACUUGAGAAUAAUCAAAUAUUCGCGACAAAAUAUGGUCUCAGGAUCAAAUACUGCUGGGAUACUUAGGAUCUUAUGCUAUGAUUUAUUUUAUGAUGUGCCUGAGGAUGUAGCAGAGAAGAAGGUUAGUUCCUGUGGUUGAGUUUGAGAAUUAUAUAUUGUUGUUAUGUUGGCUGAUUUAAUUGAUGUUUUUGAUGUUUUCCAUAUUCUUAAUUUUUUAUAUGUUUUAUGUUUCCUGCAGUGAAUGUUAUGAUGUCUCAUAGGGAUGUUGACCUUAAUUGCAAUAAGAGACUAGCAGAAUCCCUUGAUUUUCGAAUUCAAAAGAUGGUCCACUGGGAAGGAGGGGAACUUGCGCGCAAGCUCUCAACCCUGCAAUAUAUCCUUGGUCCUGGUAGUGAUUGGCAACCAAUAUCCCUGACAGAUAUUAUAAUGUCUGAAUUCUGAUGCUGUAAAGAAAGCUUACCGAAAAGCCACUCUCCAUGUCCAUCCAGACAAGUUGCAGCAGCAAGGGGCAAGCAUCCGGGAAAAGUACAUUUGCGAGAAGGUUUUCGAUCUCCUCAAAGUU